CCCUUCCUCCUGGGGGCCCCAGUGAGGAAUCUUGGUCAAUGGGCGAGAGCCUUCCCCCUCCCCUUCUCUUUCCUUCUUAAGUAUCUAUGGUUUGUAAACUUCUUUUAUAUGGGAAUAAAGUGAGGAACGUGUUCCUUUUUGUAUGUACCAUAUGAAUAAGCAUCGGCUAACUCCGUGCCAGCAGCCGCGGUAAUACGGAGGAUGCGAGCGUUAUCCGGAUUUAUUGGGUUUAAAGGGUGCGUAGGUGGUUAAUUAAGUCAGCGGUGAAAGUUUGUGGCUCAACCAUAAAAUUGCCGUUGAAACUG
rnacentral:rRNA from 1 species